rnacentral:misc_RNA from 1 species
GAUGAAGAACGCAGCGAAAUGCGAUAAGUAAUGUGAAUUGCAGAAUUCAGUGAAUCAUCGAAUCUUUGAACGCACAUUGCGCCCAUUAGUAUUCUAGUGGGCAUGCCUGUUCGAGCGUCAUUAAGUCCACUUAAGCCCUGCUUAGUGUUGGGAGACUGCUCCAGCGGUGCUACCCUGUAGCUACCCUGCAGCUCCUCAAAGACAGCGGCGGAGUUGUGGUAUCCUCUGAGCUUAGUAACUUGUUCUAGCUUUCGAGUACAUCACUUCCCCUGCCGUAAAACCCUUAAUUUUUAAUGGUUGACCUCGGAUCAGGUAGGAAUACCCGCUGAACUUAAGCAUAUCAAUAAGCGGAGGA